UACGAAGGGGGCUAGCGUUGCUCGGAAUGACUGGGCGUAAAGGGCGCGUAGGCGGAUGUCUUAGUCAGGCGUGAAAGCCCUGGGCUCAACCUGGGGACUGCGUUUGAUACGGGUUGUCUUGAGUGGGGAAGAGGGGCGUGGAAUUCCCAGUGUAGAGGUGAAAUUCGUAGAUAUUGGGAAGAACACCGGUGGCGAAGGCGGCGCCCUGGUCCGUGACUGACGCUGAGGCGCGAAAGCGUGGGGAGCAAACAGG
rnacentral:rRNA from 1 species